GUGCUCACUUCAGCAGCACAUAUACUAAAAUUGGUACAAUACAGAGAAGAUUAGCAUGUCCCUUGUGCAAGGAAGACACACAAAUUCAUGAAGCAUUCCAAAAAUAA